CAAUAGCGUAUAUUAAAGUUGUUGCAGUUAAAAAGCUCGUAGUUGGAUUUCUGGUUGAAGCGACCGGUCGGGCGUUGAUUCGUCUGCACUGGAGUCGGUUUUGGCCAUCCUCUAGGAAAGUGCGUCUGGUAUUAAGUUAUCGGGCGUAUGAUCCUGGUCUUUUACUGUGAAAAAAUUAGAGUGUUUAAAGCAGGCCUUCGCCUUGAAUACAUUAGCAUGGAAUAAUAAGAUAGGACUUUGGUCUAUUUCGUUGGUUUGCAGACCGAAGUAAUGAUUAAUAGGGAUAGUUGGGGGUAUUUAUAUUCCGAUGUCAGAGGUGAAAUUCUUAGAUUUUCGGAAGAUAAACUUAUGCGAAAGCAUUUACCAAGGAUGUUUUCAUUAA
rnacentral:rRNA from 1 species